rnacentral:rRNA from 1 species
UACGUAGGGUGCGAGCGUUAAUCGGAAUUACUGGGCGUAAAGCGUGCGCAGGCGGGCUUUUAAGCCAGACGUGAAAUCCCCGGGCUUAACCUGGGAAUGGCGUUUGGGACUGGGAGUCUGGAGUGCGGCAGAGGAGACUGGAAUUCCUGGUGUAGCAGUGAAAUGCGUAGAUAUCAGGAGGAACACCGAUGGCGAAGGCAGGUCUCUGGGCAUUAACUGACGCUGAGGAGCGAAAGCAUGGGGAGCGAACAGG